rnacentral:rRNA from 1 species
CCUACGGGAGGCAGCAGUGGGGAAUAUUGCACAAUGGGGGAAACCCUGAUGCAGCGACGCCGCGUGAGUGAAGAAGUAUUUCGGUAUGUAAAGCUCUAUCAGCAGGGAAGAAAAUGACGGUACCUGAUUAAGAAGCCCCGGCUAACUACGUGCCAGCAGCCGCGGUAAAACGUAGGGGGAAAGCGUUAGCCGGAUUUACUGGGGGUAAAGGGAGCGGAGACGGCAGCACAAGUCUGGAGUGAAAAGCCCGGGCUUAACCCCGGAACUGCUUUGGAGACUGUGCAGCUAGAGUGCAGGAGAGGUAAGUGGAAUUCCUAGUGUAGCGGUGAAAUGCGUAGAUAUUAGGAGGAACACCAGUGGCGAAGGCGGCUUACUGGACUGUAACUGACGUUGAGGCUCGAAAGCAUGGGGAGCAAACAGGAUUAGAUACCCGGGUAGUC